GCUUGUGUGUUUGCUCCGGCGCCUAUUGUGUGGAUUUCGUGCGCCUUCCAAAAGCGUAACGUGACAACUAGGGCGAUUUCUCUGAUGGGAUAAUGAUUUCAUCACUACAUGCACUUCAGCAACAGUUUUAAGAACUCCAUAAAUUCUAAAAGCGAAUAUUGUGGAACAGAAACUCGUUUGUUUUGGUGGAUUCUGCUGCCAUCACGUGGACACAAACUGAACAACACCCGCGAAAAGUUAUAAUCCAUGGUUACGAGAAGUGGUUGCUAGGUGCGUUGCCAAGAUACAGACCCCUCUUCACAUCGCAGCGACGUGGGAGGUCAUGCGGUCCGACAUGAUGGCAGAACCACAGAAAGCAGAUCUGAGGAACGUCUCUGAUCAAAUCUCCUGAAUGUGAUUCAUCAACAGAUGAAAACGAGAGAGGCCUGUGAUUCAGGUUUAGUGCAGAUGAGAUCUAACGCUCUUUUCUGGGUUUACAAUGUGGUUUAGACCUGGAUUUGAAUCAACAUCGCUUUAAUAAGCUCAGUGAAGAGGGAAAAUAACCCUGAAAUCCUGAUGUUCCAUAUUCUCUAAGCCUCUAAUAACAUCCCAUAAACACAGGGACACUUUUAUUGUUUCUUUUCCAAACCAGAUACACACAUUUCACACAAUCACGUAGUAGUUUCCUCAUGAUAUACAUAAAAUAUUCCACAUUCACAGAAAAACUCAUGCACGACACGCCAGACUCAAAUCAAAAAUCCUUCAAAUACAGUUUCACAGCAGAGCUGCACAGAUGAGUUCACAUUUUCACAGAAAUCUCACGUUUUUCUUACACAUUAACACAUGCAUUAAUUUAAAUACCUUGAUGUAUUGAUUCACUGUAGUAAAAAUACAUUUUGGCAUAUUUAUUGAACCGCAUAUUCAGUAGAAGUAAAUACAUAGCAGUUUCAUGAAAUAACUUGCAUUAAAUUGAUCAAAAGUGACAGUAAGGACAUUUAUAAUGUUACAAAAGAUUUCUAUUUCAUAUAAAUGCUGUUCUUUUGAACUUUCUAUUCAUCUGUGAAUCUUGAAAAAUAAAAUGCAUCACGGUUUCCACAAAAAUAUGAAGGACCACAAUUGUUUUCAACAUUGAUAAUAAUAAUAAAUGUUUCUCGAGCAGCAAAACAGCAUAUUAGAAUGAUUUCUGAAGAUCAUGUGACACUGAAGACUGGAGUGAAAAUUCAGCUGCGCAUCACAGAAAUAAAUUACAGUUUAACAGAUAUUCACAUAGAAAACAGUUAUUUUACAUAGCAAUAAUAUCUCACAUUUUUACUGUAUUUUUAGCUGCAUGCAUAGUAUUUACAAAAAAAAAAAAAAUAAUAAUAAUAAAAUCAAAAUGUAAAAAUAGUUUUAUAGUUCUCAGUGUCUCCUGUAGAGGUCAGUGUGAGAAUAUACAGCUGUGUCAUAUCAGGACAUUACAGUAUGGAAAUACUACAACAUCAGAUGACAUUUGAUCCCAAAAUGAUCUCAUUCGGAUGAAUCACCCGAGCAUGUGCAGCUUCACAUCUUCUGAUGUGUUAUUUUUCUGGAGCGCAGGCCCAGAUGAAUGUCUAGUUCUCGGAAAAACACCUAUUAUGUCUUUUUUCCCCCAAAGCCAAUUCAAUGUGUCGUUCGGGAUGAAAAGAUCUGAUUACACUGAAAUGUAUUAUUUAGAUUUUUGUCCAUCUGUGGCAGGUUCACGCUGGGAAUCAUGAAUUAGGAGUGAAAACAACGUUUGAUUAUGGCUGAACACUGUUCGUCAUAAAGGCAAUGUGAGGCGGAAAUUGGAUUUGGAAACAGUGUGCAAUACAUUUUGAUAAAUUUACAUCUCUUCACAUCAACCUGUCAAACAGCCCGAGGCGAGAGAGAGAGAGAGAGAGAGAGAGAUGCUAAUGUUCAACAAAACCCAAACGCCUCAUGAAUCGACACAGAAGUUUAGCAGGUUUCAUCAUUUUCCUGUCAGACAUGUUUUCAUCCAUGAAACACUUUAGCUCCCUCAUAAAAUUAACUUAGCAUGAGAACAUUAGGAAUCCACAAACAUUAUGAUGAAGGAGCAUCUUCA